GAUGAAGAACGUAGCGAAAUGCGAUACUUGGUGUGAAUUGCAGAAUCCCGUGAACCAUCGAGUCUUUGAACGCAAGUUGCGCCCGAAGCCAUUAGGCCGAGGGCACGUCUGCCUGGGCGUCACACGUCGUUGCCCCCCCCAACCCCCUCGGGAGUUGGAUGGGACGGAUGAUGGCCUCCCGUGUGCUCAGUCACGCGGUUGGCAUAAAUACCAAGUCCUCGGCGACCAACGCCACGACAAUCGGUGGUUGUCAAACCUCGGUUUCCUGUCGUGCGCGCGUGUUGAUCGAGUGCUUUCUUAAACAAUGCGUGUCGAUCCGUCGAUGCUUUCAACGCGACCCCAGGUCAGGCGGGGUUACCCGCUGAAUUUAAGCAUAUCAAUAGGGAGGA
rnacentral:misc_RNA from 1 species